UAGAAAAUUUGCAAAUAAGUGGGUUGCAGACAAAACAACUCAUCUGUCUUCCACAUUUGUAGCAAAAGAAUGCAGAGGCCAUACGAAUUCAUCUUGACUAAGGAACUCUUCACAGCACUGCAUCUGAACAGUCACAACCUAACAAAGCAGCACAACUCAGGAUCAGUGUUAUGGUGCCAUUUUGAAGCUGGAACCUCAUCCUGUGUAAAGAAAUGGCAGAGUUGAAAAUUCACUGUUUGUCUUGUAUUGUGUGUGGCAAAACCUGGGAUAACACAUGGGAGCCUUCCUGGAAUUCCUGACACUUUACACCCAAGUCUCCUCAUGCCAACCGGUUUGCAAUAUGAGAGUCUAGUCACCAUAAACACCUGGACUCGCCAAGCACACUUUGGUUCUCAGUGUUUUGUAAAACUUUUUUUUUUGCUCAUCUUCGGUAGGUACUUGAAUAUGUUUUUGAAAAGUGUCAUAGCUUUUUGGUACUUUUGCUGUUUGAGUUCAGAAAGUUGUCAUUAUAAACAUUUUUGCAAUUGUCAUGAACUCUUGUUGUUGUUGUGAAAGUUUA